GGCGGCCCCUCACGUGGUGUCAUCUCGCUGAACUCCCCCAGGACCGGAAGGUAGCAAGGGUAGGUGGGCUCUGGC
rnacentral:SRP_RNA from 1 species